ACAGGCACCUAUCGAAGCCGCUGUUGUUCUUGUGUAGCAGACCAUGUCAAAAGGCAGCCAGAAACGUUUACCGACGGCCGCUGUGCAGUAAAAAUAAAU
rnacentral:snoRNA from 1 species